CCCCCCAGGACUUUUUAUGUACAUAAGCAGAAGUCACUCGAGCAGCUGCGGCGCAUUAGUUCCAAUAGUUUAACAGGCUGCUUUGUAGCGCUGACAAAAGCCGAGCCAGCGCUGUGGCUUCCCUCCAUGUUCCUUUGCCUUGCGAGCUCGUCAGUGAUCUUUGGCAGGGGCUCGGGAGAGGACGGUGACGUUGAACAGGCUUCCGCAGGGGGUGCGCUCGCCUGGUCGACACGCAGCCCGGUCUCCACCGAGAGAUUGAGGCCGAAUGAACUAACAACAGCUGGAUCCGACCUGCUUUCCCGGACAUUUCCCAGACUCCGAGCAAGCAAGGGAAUCACUGGAAAGAGGCCAGGCAACCACGUUGCCCUGGAUUUUUGCCAACUGUACAAAGUUGACCAGGAAAAUGGCUCAGCAGACCACAAGCCCGGACACCUUAACAGUACCUGAAGUGGAUAAUCCGCAUGGUCCCAACCCAUGGCUGAACGAGGAUCUUGUGAAAUCCUUGCGGGAAAACCUGUUGCAGCAUGAGAAGUCCAAGACAGCGAGGAAAUCCGUUUCUCCCAAGCUCUCCCCAGUGAUUUCUCCGAGAAAUUCCCCCAGGCUCCUGCGCAGGAUGCUUCUCAGUAGCAACAUCCCCAAACAGCGUCGUUUCACGGUAGCACAUACAUGGUAAGGUUUGCACGGAUCACACGGAAAUGGUAACUUCCCCUCACCCUCGGUUAUUUUGCACCUCCCGUGGUUAAUUUCGGGAGUGGGAAGGGAGGAUCAUCAUCAUUCCUCACCUGUGGUGUAUGGGUGGUAAUGUACAUUAACAAUAAAUCCCACAAAUAAAUGUCCAAGUCGGGGCAGGAUUCCUUGAGACAGGA
rnacentral:lncRNA from 1 species